rnacentral:rRNA from 1 species
GGCUCAGGAUGAACGCUGGCGGCGUGCUUAACACAUGCAAGUCGAACGAAGCACUUUUUUACGAUCCCUUCGGGGUGACGAAUUUGUGACUGAGUGGCGGACGGGUGAGUAACGCGUGGGAAACCUGCCUUGUACCGGGGGAUAGCAGUUGGAAACGACUGAUAAUACCGCAUAAGCGCACAGUAUCACAUGAUACAGUGUGAAAAACUCCGGUGGUACAAGAUGGUCCCGCGUCUGAUUAGCUUGUUGGCGGGGUAAUGGCCCACCAAGGCGACGAUCAGUAGCCGACCUGAGAGGGUGACCGGCCACAUUGGGACUGAGACACGGCCCAAACUCCUACGGGAGGCAGCAGUGGGGAAUAUUGCACAAUGGAGGAAACUCUGAUGCAGCGACGCCGCGUGAGCGAUGAAGUAUUUCGGUAUGUAAAGCUCUAUCAGCAGGGAAGAUAAUGACGGUACCUGAGUAAGAAGCUCCGGCUAAAUACGUG